rnacentral:rRNA from 1 species
GAUGAACGCUGGCGGCGUGCCUAAUACAUGCAAGUCGAGCGAACGGACGAGAAGCUUGCUUUUCUGAUGUUAGCGGCGGACGGGUGAGUAACACGUGGAUAACCUACCUAUAAGACUGGGAUAACUUCGGGAAACCGGAGCUAAUACCGGAUAAUAUUUUGAACCGCAUGGUUCAAAAGUGAAAGACGGUCUUGCUGUCACUUAUAGAUGGAUCCGCGCUGCAUUAGCUAGUUGGUAAGGUAACGGCUUACCAAGGCAACGAUGCAUAGCCGACCUGAGAGGGUGAUCGGCCACACUGGAACUGAGACACGGUCCAGACUCCUACGGGAGGCAGCAGUAGGGAAUCUUCCGCAAUGGGCGAAAGCCUGACGGAGCAACGCCGCUGGAGUGAUGAAGGUCUUCGGAUCGUAAAACUCUGUUAUUAGGGAAGAACAUAUGUGUAAGUAACUGUGCACAUCUUGACGGUACCUAAUCAGAAAGCCACGGCUAACUACGUG